AUGAAGCCGUUAUUUGUAUUCCUUCUCCUGUUGGCCACCCCCUCGUGGGUCCUGUCACAAGUGCAGCUGGUGGAGUCAGGGCCUGGGACUCUAAAACCCUCAGAGACUCUCAGCCUCACCUGCUCCAUCUCAGGUGCCUCCUCGGACACCCUGGGCAGUAGUUGUUGCUGGUGGAACUGGAUCCGGCAGAGUCCCGGGAAAGGGCUGGAAUGGAUCGGGCGUAUAGCUCAAGGGGGAAGCACAAACUACGCUGCUUCCCUCCAGAGUCGCAUCACCAUCUCGGUGAACCCUUCCAAGAACCAGUUCUCCCUGGAGCUCCGCUUGCUGACAGCUGCAGACACCGCCACGUAUUACUGCUCCAGACACACAGUGACACAGAGCAGAGCGGGCCUGGCACAAAAAGGGGAAGUGGAUUCUGAGCAGCGCAGGGACCAGUUUAACUCACUUGUCUACGGCAACAGUGAGGUGGGGAUGAAUCUACCCCUGCACUAG